UUACACUCGCCGCGUCUUGGUGCUCGCGCGCGAGUUCUUUUGCGCGCAGUUAAACGGGAAACAGGGAGCAUGGCCGCCACGGCCCGCCAACCUGUGCUGCCCCCGCAACGGUAAGCGAUAGCAUUGCGCAAGCGAUGCGGCGCUGACUUCUCCACAUGCGCGAGCGCAUGUGCGAUCGGCCACUGGAUGCGUCGCGUCCGGGAAGGUGAAGCAGCGUGUUCGUCAGCCCGGAUACCGGCCGAGAUGCAGGGGGCGUG
rnacentral:ncRNA from 2 species